CCAGAGCUUAACUCUGGAACUGCCAUCAAAACUUUUCAGCUAGAGUAUGAUAGAGGAAAGCAGAAUUUCUAGUGUAGAGGUGAAAUUCGUAGAUAUUAGAAAGAAUACCAAUUGCGAAGGCAGCUUUCUGGAUCAUUACUGACACUGAGGAACGAAAGCAUGGGUAGCGAAGAGGAUUAGAUACCCUCGUAGUCCAUGCCGUAAACGAUGUGUGUUAGACGUUGGAAAUUUAUUUUCAGUGUCGCAGCGAAAGCGAUAAACACACCGCCUGGGGAGUACGACCGCAAGGUUAAAACUCAAAUGAAUUGACGGGGACCCGCACAAGUAGUGGAGCAUGUGGUUUAAUUCGAAGAUACGCGCAGAACCUUACCAACACUUGACAUGUUCGUCGCGACUCUAAGAGAUUAGAGUUUUCGGUUCGGCCGGACGAAACACAGGUGCUGCAUGGCUGUCGUCAGCUCGUGUCGUGAGAUGUUGGGUUAAGUCCCGCAACGAGCGCAACCCUCACUUUUAGUUGCCAUCAUUUAGUUGGGCACUCUGAAAGAACUGCCAGUGAUAAGCUGGAGGAAGGUGGGGAUGACGUCAAGUCCUCAUGGCCCUUACGUGUUGGGCUACACACGUGCUACAAUGGCAUCUACAACAGGAAGCAAAACGGCAACGUUAAGCAAAUCCCGAAAAGAUGCCUCAGUUCGGAUUGCACUCUGCAACUCGAGUGCAUGAAGCUGGAAUUACUAGUAAUCGUGGAUCAGCGUGCCACGGUGAAUGCGUUCCCGGGUCUUGUACACACCGCCCGUCACACCAUGGGAGUUGGUUCUACCUUAAGGCAAGGUUUUAAACCCUUGACCACGGUAUAGUCAGCGACUGGGGUGAAGUCGUAACAAGGUAACCAAGGG
rnacentral:rRNA from 1 species